rnacentral:rRNA from 1 species
UACAGAGACUGCAAGCGUUAUUCGGAUUCACUGGGCGUAAAGGGUGCGCAGGCGGACGGUUGCGGUUUGCGGUGAAAGCGCUGGGCUUACCUCAGCGAGGGCCGUGAAGACGGAUCGUCUUGAGGGGCGGAGAGGGACGUGGAAUUCCGGGUGGAGCGGUGAAAUGCGUAGAGAUCCGGAAGAACACCGGUGGCGAAGGCGGCCUGCUGGGCAGUUGCUGACACUGGAGGCGCGACAGCGUGGGGAGCAAACAGG